UUUCGGAUAAUCGCAGUUUACUUUAAGUAAGGUGAGGAAAGUCCAUGCUCGCACAGACUGAGAUGUCUGUAGUGUUCGUGCUUAAUGAAACCAUAAAUUAAGGUACUUCUUUUUAAAGAGGUAACGGCAGGAAAAAUAGCUAAGGUUUAUGCUAUGCUAGAGUAUCCUUGAAAGUGCCACAGUGACGAAGUGAUUUUAGAAAUAAAAUCAGUGGAACGGGUAAACCCCUCGAGCGAGCAACCCAAACAAUGGUAGGGGCACCUAUCCCAAGGAAAUGAACUUAGGGAUGGGACAGAAAAAUUUCUGUAGACAGAUGAUUAUCGUUGAUUAGUGUUACCUGGCAGUAAUCAAUACAGAACAUGGCUUAUAG
rnacentral:RNase_P_RNA from 1 species